rnacentral:lncRNA from 10 species
GGAGUGGGCUAGUCUCCCGGGUCGGUCACCGCUGAACUCUCAGACAAUCAAGCUUUCGAUGAUCAUGUGAUGAGGUUUCCAGUCAGUUCCAGGUGAAGACACCACUGGCCAUCAAGAAGCUACCCUCUCCCCACCAGACAGAGCAGGAUGAGAGUUCUAUAAUCCUCAAUAGGAGGAAGCACUCAAUUGAACAAGUGCAGGAACCAGCUGGCUGCCUCAGCACUGACAGAAGCAAAUUCCAUUUGCUUGGACCCACUGCAUUCCAUCCCUUGUGGAAGAGAGCAUGUAAGCAAGACAGGACCUUCAGGCCUCUGAAAAAAAAAGGAUCAAAGAACUGAAACUCACCAGAUCACCUCACCAGAUGCUGGACCCCUCAUUCACCAUGUUUGCUUCCUUGCCUCUCCCUAGUUCUUAUUUUCUUACACAUUGUUACAUUUCUUCCCUGCUAUAUCAACCCCUAGUUCUAGUCAGUCAUGGAGAUGGAUUUGAGACUGAUCUCCCAUCCCCUCAGCUACACCACCUGAUUAAAGCCUUCUUCCU